rnacentral:rRNA from 1 species
AGGUCAAGUAGAGAAGGGCGCACGGUGAAUGCCUAGGCACUGGAAGCCGAUGAAGGACGUGACAAACGACGAAAUGCUUCGGGGAGCGGUAAGUACGCAGAGAUCCGGAGAUAUCCGAAUGGGGGAACCCGGCACCG